AAAAAAAAAAAGAAAGAGAGAGAGAGAUAUGUUUUAAAAAUGCAAGCGGCUUGCCCAGCUGCACACACCCGCCCUCCCUCGGCCGCCUCCCUCCCUCCCUGCGCACACACCGCACGCUCGCACCCGCUCGGGUGUCAAACCCCGCCGGGCACCCAGCCUGGUGCGGGCACUGCCCCGGCCCCCCCGGCCCUUCCCAGCGCCGCCGACCGGAGCCUCCCCCGCUUCCAAAUGCUAAUUAGCAGGAAGAUCUUUCAGAAGCCAUCAAGAAAAUGGAUCUCAUCAAAGCUAACAACACGUGGGGCUUCCCGAAGAUCCCGUGUUUUCCAGAAUUGCUGCUGCUUCCCCACCUGACGCUGAAACACCAAAGAGUUGCACAAUGGAAUUGGGCUCUUCCUCAAGAGAAUGUUUUCCAUGGAAGGGGAUCAGGUAUUUAGAGGAAAUGAAUAUGCAUAGCUGGAAUUCUCAAUAUUAGUCAAUAGCAGAGGAGAGGCCAGGUCUGUCCCGAGGGAUCCAUUGAAAAGGUGAAAUCCUCAGCCAGGAGCCCCUCCUGGGUUCCUUGGGAUGGGGCUGGCACUGGGAGCUCAUGGAGUCCAAGAGCUUUUUAUGAGUUCAUUGGGGUCCUGAACUGGCUGGUUUCAGCUCAUUUUGGGCAUUGGGAAAUGUGUGGCCAAGUCCAGAGGAGGUUUGGGACCUCUGGUUUAACCUGGGCUCCCAUUCCAAGGCCAAAGCCAAACUGGGGAGAGCUCCAUCGUCAUCUGGGGAGUUGUUUUAGGUCUUCAGUAGCAUGGCUACCACUCUCAUGCCAUACAAAGAAAUUUUUCCUUUGGAUUCAUGAGGUUUUUUUCCCUGGAAUCAGUGGCUGCUGGUGCCCCUGAGCUCAAUCCAGGCUGGCAAUCCACAGAUCCUCUCUGUGGGCAAGGACCUGCAGGGCAUGGAUCCUGCUCCUGAGAACUCAGUGAGGCACGUUAGCUGCAUCAAAUAUUGCUCAGAAUAUCUCUCUGUAUUAUCCAGAAUAUCUCAUUUUGCUCCUUUGAUCUGAAUGCAUCCCCAGGUUCACCAGAGGCAUUUGCAAACUCCCAUUCUCUGCCUCUGUGUUUGAUAUAUUUGGGUUCCUUUUCCCUCUGCCUAACAAAGGAACGCCUGAAAUUUUGACUUUUCCAGCCCCUUGAAAACCUCCUGCCUUAAAUAACGGAAGGGGAUGUGCCUCAGUCUUGGAUUCAGCAAUAAUUCUGGUUUUUACCCUGGGCCCAGACUGAAUUUUCCUCCUGGGUUACAGUUUUGGUGCUUUUCACUGCAUGGAUACCCCACAAGUCCUGCAGUGGGGGAAGAUCUGACACUUUGGGGUUAUUGUUAUCUCUGGAGGGCAAAAACCUCCAGGCUCCCCUGAAAGAAAAUGAUUUUUCCCUGCCCAAAAAGAGGUGGAGACUCAUUUGCAGAAUGUGAAAGGAGGGAACAGGAGGGCAAAAGGCAGCCAAAAGUGCUUUGGCCAAGGAAGCAAAGCACACCAAGAUAUUUCUGUCUCCUGGUUUACAGGGCUGCUGCUCUUUAAGCACAAAUUCCUCCUCUCUGGAACAUUCCAGGUUGGGAAUGAGGUUCUGCCAUGCCAGGAGCCCCUCGGGUGUACCCCCACCUGUAACAGUGGGAUCCAUGCUACUUCUGGGAACAAGAAAUUCAUGUUUUCUGUUUUUCUGUCCUUCACCCAAUGCUCUGGCACUGUGUUUGAAUAGAUGAGGGCAUUCCAACCAAUUUUUAAAAAAAUAAUAAAUGUAUAAUUCCCGAGAUGAAAGAGGAACCUCUGCUUUCCUCGGUGAGCCUGCUUGCAAUUGUUUUUCUUUAACAGCUCUUCCCACACUGCAGUCAAUGAAUCUCUAAUCUCCUGGACUGAAAUGUCUGACACUUCCAGAAUCCUUUCUUUGCUGCCUCGACUCGCAGAGCUCCACCUCCAGCAGCGCUCAGCAGUGGGCUGGGGGUGAAUCUGAUGGAAAUGUCUGCUGGUUUUGGGGGUGGCAGGGAGGGAUGGGAGGACGAGCAGGGGCUCUGCUGUGCCUCUCCCACCACCCUCCCAGCCAGGGCUGUCCCCACCAGCAGCUGCUGAAGGACCUGAGGGACAAGGAGUGGACGAGCUCUGGCUGAGUCGAUUCCUGGCUGCUGAAUAAAUUGAGUUUAUUCCACGGCUGCUCCCGACCCAAGCCUGGUGCUCUGGGCUGUGGAAUCCUCUGGAAGGUGGACAGGAGGGCAAGGAGGAGAAGCUCAGCCCCUGAGAGAAGUCUGCUCCCUCUGGCUGCUCCAAGAAGCUGAGCUUGCCCUGGAAGGUGUUUGGUGCUCCCUUCCCACUCGCCUGCCCCGCUGGCAGCUCCACUCUGAGGAUGAAUUAUGCCAGAAAUUCUGGGAAGCACCAGAAACGCUGAGGAUGGAGAAGAGCCCUCUCAGUGCACUCAUUUGUGGAUAAAGUCGCUCUCAGCUGGAUUGCAGCUCCUCCUGAGCAGGCCACGAGCUGUGGGAAGGAUCACAAAGUCACCAGUGGACUUUGGGUUGCCUUUGGUGUGCUUGUAUCAUGUGUGAGCAUGCAGAGAGCUUGGUUUCCCACCAGGAGCCCAGUAAAUGGCACCUCUGUCAACCAGA